AAACGCUUCUAAAGGAUAAUAGUUCAUCCGUGGUCUAGAACCAAAAAUUCGUCGUGCUGCACUCAGUAGC
rnacentral:tRNA from 1 species